ACAUUGGUGGUUCAGUGGUAGAAUUCUUGCCUUCCACGCAGGCGACCUGGGUUUGAAUACCGGCCAAUGCA
rnacentral:tRNA from 1 species